rnacentral:lncRNA from 1 species
GGAAAGUCAGCCUGUGUACCGGAAAGUCUCAGCAGAGGGUAGGCUCUGGAAAGAGCUAUUUAACCUGACGUAUGUCACCAAGUGACUCAGCCUCUCCUGAGUUCUGACUAGGCUGCAAAGACAGAUGUCUGGGGCUCUUUGGGUUCAUGGAUUAUUGACAAGUAACCCUCUUCCCCAUUUCCUUGGGGUGCUGAGUCCUGUGUUGAGCUAGCACUUUGGCCAAAGGAAGUUUGCAAGAGACUGGUAUUUCAUCAGCUCCUCGAGCAGAAUGACUCACCUGUUACUAAAUGGACACUCACAAAGCCAGGAAAGCUCCAGGAAGUCUGGGAUCUGCAGUUCAAGGCCACCACAUCACCGGCCCCCCGUGGGAGUGAGUGGGACCCAGGAGAUGGGUCUGAAGGAGGAAGAAGGGCAGCUGGAAGAGACAGAGCCCCUUUCCAACAGGGCCAGAGGGAGGUCACCUUGGAGACCCCUGGAUGGUACCAUUUGCCUUCUCACUUUUGAAAUGUGGAGCUCCAAGGAGAAUCCCAGGGUAGGAGAGAAAAAGUGAUCCGUGCUGCAUGAGUUGCUUCCUGGUCUUCAGGUGCUGAAGAAUGUGUGGACAUUUCCUAGUUUAAUAGGAUUUUCUUUUUUCUAAUUGCAAUAAUUCUGUGGGAAUUCCUCGGCAAAUUCUGAAAUGAGAAAACUGAGACCUGUGUAGGUCAAUUGACUGACCCAAGAUUCCACAGUUUGUGGCUCACAUUGAAUUGCAGCUCCAGUCUUUUGACCAACAGGGAACUGGUGGUGAUUUUAAAGGAGAAAUAAGAUAUGGAGAAGAAGACUCCAUGGGUUGGAUGAGCCUAGCUAUCAUUCUAUUUUAAAAUAACCAAAAAUGAGCAACUCUUUCUAGCAACACUGUAAUCUUCCAAGAUGCAUUUAUGGAAAAUUCUCCAUGAGGUGAGCAGGCCUCCUCCACCGAGUGCUCCUGCUAUGCUGUACUCUGCUGCCACAGGCGAAGCAAAAGGACCAAGUAUGCAUGGACUGAAACUAGGAGUUAAGAUGAGUCUUCCCUCCUGUUAAAUCGAUUAUCUCAGAUCCUCUUUUGUUGCCAGUUCAUGGAGCCCAGGUGGUUGCGCAUCAGAUUUUUCCAUCUUGUUUCCCUUUGGAGUUGCUGUAGGUGAUCUGGAAGUCUGUUUUUGAGGCUUGUUUAUGUGUCUUCUCAUUUCCCCAGGGGAUAAGGGUGUGUGCUGCUGGUGCCCGUGCUGCUCACCUCCUCUGCCCUAGGAGUGGUGGAAUGGCAGCGGGAAGCCUCCUCCUGGGCGCUGGGAUUGGCUCACCUCCUCUGCCCUGGGAAUGGUGGAAUGGUUAACUCAUUUCUAAUACUUUGAAAUAUUUGAUUUGAGAUGUUUGGCAUGAAAAGCCCAUUAAAUAAAUGUCAAAUUCCAUUUUAACAUAAACCAUACACUAAAGGGUUUGAUGCUCUUAAUUUUUCCUUGAUUAACUCUGUGUUUUCCCAGGCUCGAAAUAUGACUCUCUAUGGAAGAUUCAAGUUACUUAGGGCUGGGACCCUUGUGUGUGACCAUGGUGGGUUUCCUGUUGAACUUGUGAUGCUACAGCCUUUAAAACUUACAAAGGGUAGUUCUCUUCAGUUCUGUAGGCCCCAUAUCUGGCUUUGAGUUGUGUAUGUACUCCGUAAUUGUUCUCUUUAUUCACAGAAAUUUGCAGACCUCUUCUUGAUUGAUCACUUCAUAGAACGUCAUACUUUUUGACUUGUAAGAUUUGUAAAUAUAUUUUCUGUUGAUUUUUAAAGACUGUCAUAUUAUCUCAAAACAACUGAUAGAAUCUCACUAUAUUUAAAAUUACAUUUUCUAUUAAAAGGUAUGGGUCUUUUUUUGAAUGUGAUUCUGCAUGUUUUCAUAGUCUUAAGAUGUUACAGCUUUGAUGAAUAUUAAAAAUGAUAUCCAGUUAAAUUUUGAAUACCUCACUCAGCUUUUUCUGACUUGCUGUCAAGUUUAUGAAAAUGUUCUAAAAACAAAUAAGCAAGUGUUCAUGCACAAUUGAAAAAUUUCAUAUUCACGUGUCUCCAUUUCACCCACCCCGAACUAUAACUUUUGUUGGUAUAGACAGAGAUGUAUUGAAACUCCUUUUACCAAUUUGAAGAUUAUUUUGGAGAUGUAAACCAAUAUUUUUAAGAAAUCAAGGUAAGAAAAGCAAAAUUUCUAAAUCUACAAUGGAUUAUAUUAAAAGGGAUAGAUUUCAAUAUUUCUUGGUGGGAAUCUUCUACAAGCUAUAGUGCUUAAAGAGAAAAUUCUGGCUUCUAUAUCCAACUAGAUUUUCUUUCAGGAUUCAUUCAACAAACAUUUCUUGGACUCCUUUUAUGUGUCAAGCAUGAUUUCAGGUGAUUUGAGAUAUGUGAGUGAACCAAAUAAGAAAAUACAGAUUCUGUGACCAUUAAGUGUGAGAUGUCAGCUUGACCAGAUUAAGACAUGCCUAGAAGAAUAACAAAGCACAGUUCUGGCCUUUCAGGCAUGAAAUGGAAUGAAGAAAGUUGGCCUAUGACUUUGAAGAGCUCCAGUCUGCUUGAGCCCACAGCCUCUCCACCCUGACCUGGAGGAUUUGAUGACCUUCAGAAUUCAGAGCAUAUUGAUCUACUUCAUAGGCAACAAAUGCUGAAGCCCUGUCUGCUAAUGUGACUUCAGAAGGUUGAAUAUGGAUUUGGAAAGAAUUACCAGCUGCUCACAAAUGUUUUAUAAAUGAUCUGAAACGCAGACACAGAGAAGAAAGACGCUCAGGGUGGAGAAGAAGAAAACUCCCACCCCACAAGCCCGCUGUAAAGAUAAUGCCUAAUUUUUUCAAUUUUGUUUCGUUUUUCUAGGAAGCUACAUAAAAAGAUUGUUCAGGUUGAAUAGGUCAAAUACCUGUGGGGAUUGAUAGGACUAAAUAGGAAAUGUGCUGCUGACCUUGUGGAAUUUUCACAAAGGAUCUGCUGGAUCAAAUGGCACUUCUGAGCUCCCCUCCAGAUGGUGACUGUUAUGCUCACCUCUUGAUCUCUUCUGCCACCCACUCUUGGUCCCUGUGGCCGGGACAUCCUGAGUCCAUAAUGACCCCGUGCUGAGCUGUGAAGGACACAACCUGUACCUCUUCAGAAUGUCCACUCACCCUACAGUCAUCCACCAAGGGAGAGAUGCCUUCCAGAUAAGCCAGCCACUUCCCGGCUCCAGCCCUGGGCUGGGCUAAUCUUUCCUUGAUCUUCCGUCACGGUUAUUCACUGUCCUGUGCUCCUGACUCGUACAUCUGCAAAUGAGCAAACAAUGUUCUGGUUGGCUGCACAGAGAUGGAAGAAUACAGUGGACCCUUGAGUUACGACCGGCCUGCCGUAAGACCAGCUUGGGUUGCGACUGGAACUUUAGUUUUAACUUACGACCAAAGUCUUGAGUUACGUCCUGAAUGCUGGCUGCUUGUGCUUCUAGAUGGUCUCAGAUGCAAAUUUAACCCUUGAAGAGUCCUAGAAGGAACAUUACAAGGUCCUUUCCUGUAUGAGGUUAACUGAGGCGUCCUGUGCCAGUGUGUCUCUAAGGAUGUUGAGAUCUGCCUGGAUACAGGACAGAGACUUUGAAGGCUGUGUAGAGGAGCUGAGCCUUCAGUUGACCAACUUGAGUUGAAUAGCCCUUGGGAAGGAGUUGAGUUUGUAAGUCAGGGUCUGCUGUACCUCAAAAUUCCUGGCCCCCGAG